rnacentral:antisense_RNA from 1 species
CUUUAUGGCGGCUGUGUGCGGGAGACCUUCGGGUCUGCCGAGGUUUAGGGCGUGGUUUACUCGGUCUGGCACCCCGCACAUAGCGGCCACCUUA